rnacentral:rRNA from 1 species
AUACGGAGGGUGCAAGCGUUAAUCGAAAUUACUGGGCGUAAAGCGUACGUAGGCGGUUAUUUAAGUCAGAUGUGAAAGCCCCGGGCUUAACUUGGGAACUGCAUUUGAAACUGGGUAACUAGAGUUUAGUAGAGGGGAGUGGAAUUUCAGGUGUAGCGGUGAAAUGCGUAGAGAUCAGAAGGAACACCAGUGGCGAAGGCGACUUCCUGGACUAAAACUGACGCUGAGGUACGAAAGCGUGGGUAGCAAACAGGAUUAGAAACCCUAGUAGUCC